rnacentral:rRNA from 1 species
GGGUUGUGAGGUUAAGCGACUAAGCGUACACGGUGGAUGCCCUGGCAGUCAGAGGCGAUGAAGGGCGUGCUAAUCUGCGAUAAGCGCCGGUAAGGUGAUAUGAACCGUUAUAACCGGCGAUACCCGAAUGGGGAAACCCAGUGUGACUCGUCACACUAUCAUUAACUGAAUCCAUAGGUUAAUGAGGCGAACCGGGGGAACUGAAACAUCUAAGUACCCCGAGGAAAAGAAAUCAACCGAGAUUCCCCCAGUAGCGGCGAGCGAACGGGGAGGAGCCCAGAGCCUGAAUCAGCAUGUGUGUUAGUGGAAGCGUCUGGAAAGGCGCGCGAUACAGGGUGACAGCCCCGUACACAAAAGCGCAUGUGCUGUGAGCUCGAUGAGUAGGGCGGGACACGUGGUAUCCUGUCUGAAUAUGGGGGGACCAUCCUCCAAGGCUAAAUACUCCUGACUGACCGAUAGUGAACCAGUACCGUGAGGGAAAGGCGAAAAGAACCCCGGCGAGGGGAGUGAAAAAGAACCUGAAACCGUGUACGUACAAGCAGUGGGAGCCCCACCACUAAGCCAGUGGUGAACUCCACAUCCGCAUCCUUUGCUGAGGAUACGGUUAACGGAGCGAAAGCGACGUUCAACCGCAAAACAAGCAGAGGGGGCUUAGUGGUGGGGUGACUGCGUACCUUUUGUAUAAUGGGUCAGCGACUUAUAUUCUGUAGCAAGGUUAACCGAAUAGGGGAGCCGGAGGGAAACCGAGUCUUAAUUGGGCGUUAAGUUGCAGGGUAUAGACCCGAAACCCGGUGAUCUAGCCAUGGGCAGGUUGAAGGUUGGGUAACACUAACUGGAGGACCGAACCGACUAAUGUUGAAAAAUUAGCGGAUGACCUGUGGCUGGGGGUGAAAGGCCAAUCAAACCGGGAGAUAGCUGGUUCUCCCCGAAAGCUAUUUAGGUAGCGCCUCGUGAAUUCAUCUCCGGGGGUAGAGCACUGUUUCGGCUAGGGGGCCAUCCCGGCUUACCAACCCGAUGCAAACUGCGAAUACCGGAGAAUGUUAUCACGGGAGACACACGGCGGGUGCUAACGUCCGUCGUGAAGAGGGAAACAACCCAGACCGCCAGCUAAGGUCCCAAAGUCAUGGUUAAGUGGGAAACGAUGUGGGAAGGCCCAGACAGCCAGGAUGUUGGCUUAGAAGCAGCCAUCAUUUAAAGAAAGCGUAAUAGCUCACUGGUCGAGUCGGCCUGCGCGGAAGAUGUAACGGGGCUAAACCAUGCACCGAAGCUGCGGCAGCGACGCUGAUGCGUUGUUGGGUAGGGGAGCGUUCUGUAAGCCUGUGAAGGUGUGUCGUGAGGCAUGCUGGAGGUAUCAGAAGUGCGAAUGCUGACAUAAGUAACGAUAAAGCGGGUGAAAAGCCCGCUCGCCGGAAGACCAAGGGUUCCUGUCCAACGUUAAUCGGGGCAGGGUGAGUCGACCCCUAAGGCGAGGCCGAAAGGCGUAGUCGAUGGGAAACGGGUUAAUAUUCCCGUACUUGGUGUUACUGCGAAGGGGGGACGGAGAAGGCUAUGUUGGCCGGGCGACGGUUGUCCCGGUUUAAGCGUGUAGGUGUGUGUUCCAGGUAAAUCCGGUUCACUUUAACACUGAGGCGUGACGACGAGGCACUACGGUGCUGAAGCAACAAAUGCCCUGCUUCCAGGAAAAGCCUCUAAGCAUCAGGUAACACGAAAUCGUACCCCAAACCGACACAGGUGGUCAGGUAGAGAAUACCAAGGCGCUUGAGAGAACUCGGGUGAAGGAACUAGGCAAAAUGGUGCCGUAACUUCGGGAGAAGGCACGCUGACACGUAGGUGAAGUGAUUUACUCAUGGAGCUGAAGUCAGUCGAAGAUACCAGCUGGCUGCAACUGUUUAUUAAAAACACAGCACUGUGCAAACACGAAAGUGGACGUAUACGGUGUGACGCCUGCCCGGUGCCGGAAGGUUAAUUGAUGGGGUCAGCGUAAGCGAAGCUCCUGAUCGAAGCCCCGGUAAACGGCGGCCGUAACUAUAACGGUCCUAAGGUAGCGAAAUUCCUUGUCGGGUAAGUUCCGACCUGCACGAAUGGCGUAAUGAUGGCCAGGCUGUCUCCACCCGAGACUCAGUGAAAUUGAACUCGCUGUGAAGAUGCAGUGUACCCGCGGCAAGACGGAAAGACCCCGUGAACCUUUACUAUAGCUUGACACUGAACAUUGAGCCUUGAUGUGUAGGAUAGGUGGGAGGCUUUGAAGUGUGGACGCCAGUCUGCAUGGAGCCGACCUUGAAAUACCACCCUUUAAUGUUUGAUGUUCUAACGUGGACCCGUAAUCCGGGUUGCGGACAGUGUCUGGUGGGUAGUUUGACUGGGGCGGUCUCCUCCUAAAGAGUAACGGAGGAGCACGAAGGUUGGCUAAUCCUGGUCGGACAUCAGGAGGUUAGUGCAAUGGCAUAAGCCAGCUUGACUGCGAGCGUGACGGCGCGAGCAGGUGCGAAAGCAGGUCAUAGUGAUCCGGUGGUUCUGAAUGGAAGGGCCAUCGCUCAACGGAUAAAAGGUACUCCGGGGAUAACAGGCUGAUACCGCCCAAGAGUUCAUAUCGACGGCGGUGUUUGGCACCUCGAUGUCGGCUCAUCACAUCCUGGGGCUGAAGUAGGUCCCAAGGGUAUGGCUGUUCGCCAUUUAAAGUGGUACGCGAGCUGGGUUUAGAACGUCGUGAGACAGUUCGGUCCCUAUCUGCCGUGGGCGCUGGAGAACUGAGGGGGGCUGCUCCUAGUACGAGAGGACCGGAGUGGACGCAUCACUGGUGUUCGGGUUGUCAUGCCAAUGGCACUGCCCGGUAGCUAAAUGCGGAAGAGAUAAGUGCUGAAAGCAUCUAAGCACGAAACUUGCCCCGAGAUGAGUUCUCCCUGAGACUUUAGGUCUCCUGAAGGAACGUUGAAGACGACGACGUUGAUAGGCCGGGUGUGUAAGCGCAGCGAUGCGUUGAGCUAACCGGUACUAAUGAACCGUGAGGCUUAACCUUACAACGCCGAAG